rnacentral:lncRNA from 1 species
CAAAGUUUUAAUAUAGAAUAGUGAAACCUAUUUAUGAAGAAUAGAAUCACACAGUAUAAAAUUAGCAAUUUACCUUUUAAGGAACAAUUAUACAGUGGGGGUGGGGCAGGGGAGACGACAGUUUUCCCCAACUGAAUAUACUGGCAUCUAGGCAACUGUUUCACAUGCUAUUUCAGUGUCUGUCAUGACAAAAGACCAUGUUACAAAAGAUGCAGAAUGCAGUCUUUAGAUCAUGUAGAAGUAGAAAUAUUUGUAUGUGAAGACUUCACUCCCGUCCUCACCGUGCCUCUCCAGCUGACACUAGUAAACUGUCCACAAGGAGAAAAGUAGGAUCAGGUGUUCACCAGUGCACACGUCUAAUAUUCCAGGUGACUGCUCACAGGAACAGUGAAUUCAGGCUCCAGUCACAACUGUAGCCAUCCAUCCAUCCCCCUUUCCUGGGAUAGAGCUCCUGAUAAACACUGUUAUAAACAUAUCGCCUUACACCAAUGUCCCAUCUCAUGAACACGUAUCGGAAACGCAUUAUGCAGUAGCCCACUCUAUCUUCUGACGCAUUAUACAGUAAACGCAUUAUGCAGUAGCCCACUCUGUCUGCUGACGCAGCGCAGCACAGCACCACUGAGUACAUGUGCGGCAAGCGGAGGGAAGGGGAUGCGUGUGGGAAGGGCAAGAAGAAAUGACAAGGCUUCUGCAAGAAGAAACUCUUUGAAGCACUUUAGUGGUUAAAUGGUCACCCAGCACUGCUCACUGUCUUCUAUGGUUUGUGUGAAGCUCUACCACUGAGGUUACUGAACCCACAUGCAUUGUAACAGCACUUCCUGUAGGAGCAGGGGUCCAGCCGCUGUGUCAGCUAUCAUGGGCACCUGAGAUUUGCUGCUUGUCCCCUGAUAAAGGUCUGAAACAUGGGAUUUACAGUCAGUC